GGCUGACCCCUCGUGCGGCGUCAUCUCACUGAACUCCCCCAGGGCCGGAAGGCAGCAAGGGCAGGUGAGCUCUGAUGGGUGUGCGAGGGGUCUUCUGCAU
rnacentral:SRP_RNA from 1 species